UAGAGUACUCUCAAAUGGCGCACUACAGCAAUUGUGUUAAAGCCUUUUUACUCUCAACAAGAUGUUUUUGGGGGUGCUCUCACCCUUUCUCAAGUGCUCUUAAAAUAAUAACGCAGGACAUAAAGAGAACAUAAGAAUAUAAUAUGGUAUGGCUUACAAAUCGUCCGUCCCCCCAGGCAUAGUGCCAUGGCAGAUCUAACAGAGGAGGAAACCUCAAUUCCUGGACAUCUAGCUCCUGCUAGAACUUCUCCCUUUGUGUCUUAUUUAUUUUGCAUGUGCCUUUUGCAAAACAAAAUUCUAGGCUGCCACAGCUGACCUCUGUUACAUAUCUUGUAAAACCAUUCAUCCCACCCCUGCCAAUAAUCUGCUCUCUGCAACCUUGCCUGUCUGCUUCAUGUUUGUUUCAGCAAGUCAUGUAAGCAUGGACCCUGAAAUAGCACACACUCUCCCUCUACCGGGACUUCAGAAACUCAUAUACCUGACAUUCUCAACAGAAUUCCUGAACAGCUUUUUGCACCACCAUAGGCACACUAAGAUCAGAUUCCUUCCCAUCCCAAGAAACCUCCCCUGUCUCCACCAGGCGCCACCUGUGGUCAGGACUUUGAUUCGAAAGAGGAAGGACAGGUACUCUCUGAGGGUGUAUUCUGAUUCUCAUAGAUCUCAGUGAGAAGUCGUGGGCCUCAUGCAAGCAGUGCUCAUGACCUUAAAUCUUGGAUUUAAGGAUUUAUCCAGGAUUGUGUUGAAUUGUGGUCCUCACCUCUGUCAGUAGACCUUCCAGUUUCCAGACUAUCGAAGAGCACCAUCAUUCCUGCACCAGACACAGCGGCCUUUAAAGACUCCAUAGAUAAGAGACUAGAGGGUUUCAGCAAGGCUAUUUUCACUGCCUCCAGGGCUGCAUUCAGGCCCAUAUUCGUGAUCGCGUGGAUCUCCAGGGUCAUGGAGGUCAGGAUCAAACAGAUGGCACAAUUGUAAGACUUGGAAGACAGUCCAAUGGACCUUUUGCUCUCACAGAUCACAGAUGCCAAUUCUUAUGUUUGAGAUGUAGCCUUGGAUGCUGCUCAGCUAGUGGCCAAUAGCCAAUGGACCUUUUGCUGUCACAGAUAUCGGAUGCCAAUUCUUAUGUUUGAGAUGCAGCCUUGGAUGCUUAGCUAGUGGCCAAAGCUUUGGGCUAAUUUGUUGCAGCUCACAGUUUUUUUGGCUCAAAACGUGGUCUACUGUAUGCUCUUACACGGCCACCUGAGACAAUUUUGGUAGAUGUGGGCUUAACAUUUUUCGGAUCAGUGGGUGCUUCAGCUCAUCUCAGAGGGUUACCUAAUAAAAUUCCAACCAAUUUCACAAGACAGAUUAUUUGCCUUCUGGCUCCAGGCCCCAGGUUGUCAGCCUUUCUGUCCUCCAUUCACAAACUGUUUGCUUCAGGAGUCGUGCAAAUGGUAUGUCCCGGAACCAAAAAUGGACGUUUUCUAUGGGUCAGUCUUAGGCCUGAAGGCCCUCAAUCACUGUACUUGCAAGGGCCAUUUCAAAAUGGACUAGAUCCAGUCCGUCCUGAUGUCAAUGGAGCUGGACAAAUUCAUAUCAGUUGCCAAAAAAGGGGGAUUAGGGGGAGAAAUUUGCCAAUCACUAGCCCUAAUCAAUAUAGAUGGGUGAAAACUGCUUGAAUGCAGGAGCAUUUUAUGAUCCGUUAAUACCAGUUACGAAUUUACCUGCCUCGUGUCUGAUAUCAAGAAAGGCUACCGAAGAUUUACUCCAUGAAGCCGUAAACCAAAUAGUUGAUGGAAAAGAGUUUCCUUACCCUGCCAAAGAAAGAAGAGAUCAUCUAUGAAACAGUAAUAGCAUUAAAUAUAUUGCCAAAAUUCUGAUCUGUAUAUAUACUUGUCCUCAUAAUUAGCCAUGAAUAAAUUGGCGUAUGAUGGAGCCACAUUACUCCC